rnacentral:rRNA from 1 species
UACAGAGGGUGCGAGCGUUAAUCGGAAUUACUGGGCGUAAAGCGCACGUAGGUGGCGACGUAAGUCGGGUGUGAAAGCCCCGGGCUCAACCUGGGAAUUGCAUUCGAGACUGCAUUGCUGGAGUACGGAAGAGGAGGGCGGAAUUCCCGGUGGUAGCGGUGAAAUGCGUAGAUAUCGGGAGGAACACCGGUGGCGAAAGCGGCGCACUGGACCACAUCUGACGCUGAGGCGCGAAAGCUAGGGGAGCAAACAGG